rnacentral:pre_miRNA from 1 species
UUUAUACUCCCUCCGUCCGGAAAUACUUGUCAUCAAAAUGAAUAAAAGGGGAUGUAUCUAGAUGUAUUUUAGUUCUAGAUACAUCCUUUUUUGUCCAUUUUGAUGACAAGUAUUUCCGGACGGAGGGGGUACUAA